rnacentral:rRNA from 1 species
AGUUUGAUCCUGGCUCAGAACUAACGCUGGUGGCGUGUCUUAGUCAUGCAAGUCGAACGAGAAAGUACCCUUCGGGGUGCGAGUAAAGUGGCGAACGGGUGAGUAACACGUGGGUAACCUACCUUUGAGUGGGGAACAAUCCCUCUAACGAGGGGCUAAUACCGCAUAAUGCAGCGGCUCCGCAUGGAGACAGUUGUUAAAGGGGCAGCUUCGGUUGUCUCGCUUGAAGAUGGACCCGCGGUCCAUUAGCUUGUUGGUGAGGUAACGGCUCACCAAGGCAACGAUGGAUAGCCGGCCUGAGAGGGUGUACGGCCACACUGGAACUGAGAAAGGUCCAGUCCCCUACGGGGGCCAGCAGUCUAGAAAUUUGCGCAAUGGGCGAAAGCCUGACGCAGCGACGCCACGUGGAGGAUGAAGCCCUUAGGGGUGUAAACUCCUGUCAGAAGGGAAGAAUGCAGGAAAUAACUUUUCCUGUUUGACGGUACCUUCAGAGGAAGCCCCGGCUAACUUCGUGCCAGCAGCCGCGGUAAUACGAAAGGGGGCAAGCGUUGUUCGGGAUUUACUGGGGCGUUAAAGGGCGUGCA